AGGAACAUAAAGCCACUCACACUCCCCAGUAUCUUGGUCUGGUCUCAAGGAGAAGUUACAGUUUUGGAUUCAGCAGUAUGAAAAAGAAAUGGAGAAGAAGGAGCAAGAGAUCACUGCUCUUCAGAAUAAAAGAAACAUCAACCAGGCACGAAUUCAGGAGCUGUCUAAGAAGUGCAGAGACAUGCAAUAGGAUAUCAUUGAGGACAGGAUGGAGAAGGAACAUUUGCGUGCACAGCUGGAGAAGGAGCAGAGGGACAGAGAUGCAGCAACUAAGAUCCAGGCCUGGUGGCGUGGGACUCUUGUACGUAGAGGACUAGGUUCUCCUAAGAAAGCAAGCAAAUCCAAGUCUAAAAAAGGCAAAAAGAAGAAGAAAUGAAG